rnacentral:lncRNA from 1 species
UAAGUUUGAGAAUUAAACAAAAGAAUUCCUCCCUUUCUCUCUUACCUCAAGUGUGCCGCCCCCUCUCACCUCUUUCUCUCUCAAUUUUUUUUCAUCAUCCUCCAUUGAUGAUCAUGUUCAAAGCUUCAUAGAUUAAUUCUACACCAUAAUCAUCCAUUAAAUCAAGCUCUACACUUCUAAAAUCAUUGAAUCAAGGAAGGAGUUGCAAGCUUGAAGCAAAAGAGAAAUUUGCAUCAUACCCUAAAUCCUUGAGUAAGUAUUAAAAACACCUAGAUCUAAGCUUGAUUAUGCUAUAUAUAUGUGUAUGUGGAUGAAAAUAGCAAGAAGACAUCACCUUUUAAUUUUUUUAAAUUUUUUAAAAUUUAGGGUUAACCCUUCAAAAAAAUUUUGUUUUCUAAUCUUUAAUUGAAAUCAUAUUUAUACUAUUGGGAGUCUAGUUAGUUCUUUUAUAUAUGCAAAGAAUGUAUCUAUAUUGAUAUGUGAAUUUUUGAAUGAGUUAGUUUAGGUGAAUUUGGGGAAUUUAUUUUAAGGAUUAAAUGAUGAGUUGAUGAUUGAUAUGAGUUUAUGAGAUUGCUAAUAUGUUGUUUGAUGGAUUAAAUUGAUGAUUGGAGGUGAUUGAUGAAAAUUUAUGUGAGUUUGUUUGAUGAGAAUUGGGUAUAAUUGCUUCUAUGCUUAAGAUUGUUAAUUGAUGAGUUAAUUUGAAAGACUUUAAAUAAGCUACUGACCUACUGUUUUGACAGGGUUUUUGUUACCCAAAAAUCUUAAAAGUUUUAUGGUGAGUAUAUAGGAGUGCCUUAAACAUACAUGUAAAUUUUUAAGUCAUUUUAACUUUAUUUACUAUGUUUUUAAAAUAUAAAACUCCUACCGAAACUUUCUACCGGAAAUAUCAAAGGGCAGACACUGGAGUCACCCAUUUCAGUAGCUUUCCGUAACAUUUUUCCUUCCAACCUUUUAUGGUAGGGAUAUUCAUGUGUUAGCUAGCUACCCACCAAAUUUCAAGCCAUUUCGGUAAUGUUUAGUAUUUUUCAAAAAUCAAAAUUUUCGGUUGCACAAAACUGCCGGAUACGGUAGUCUGUGGGAGGACAACCAUAUCUCUUAAACCACUUGGAGUUUUUCAACCUACUUUUUUUUAAAAUGAAACUAGACUCAAAGAGAUUUUCAUUGAUAUGAGUCUUGAAANNNNNNNNNNNNNNNNNNNNNNNNNNNNNNNNNNNNNNNNNNNNNNNNNNNNNNNNNNNNNNNNNNNNNNNNNNNNNNNNNNNUAUAUAUAUAUAUAUAUAUAUAUAUAUAUAUAUAUAUAUGAAAAUUUUCCCGAGUUAGUUUGCAUGCAUACAUGAGAUCAUGUAUAUGAGAUGAAUGUGUCUAUAUGUGAGCUUAAAUUGAAUUUAUGAGAAUUUUCUGAAGAUGAAAUCUACGCGUUAGUUUAUUAAAAAUGAGAUAAAAUGGCAUAAUUUGUUUAUGUGAAUUAUUUUUGGAUAAAUAAUUUAAGAAUGUUUCAUAUUAUGUCUUUGGCUUGCUAAAAUAAAUUUUUGAGAAUUUUUCCCCAACUAAAAAUAUUUUCUGAUUUUUACAAAAAGUUUUUAAAUAUGAUUGCUAAGAUGUUAAUGAACUUGAUUAAUUCUCUAUGAGCUAAUGUGUUAAUGUGUGUAUGCAUAUUUAUGUGUUUGUUUAAUGAUGUGGAUUAGUUCUAUGUGAGUGAUAAGUUGUUAAUAGGAUUGGUGUUUACUUAGGAAGUUCUUUUGAUAUGAGAGUAAGAUAGUUGGAGCGAAGUUAUGAGAAGUGAUAGAGUAUUACUAAGACAAGAGUAGUACUUUUAGUGAGGAAGUUUCUGACUGAUUUUAUCUUAUCUCAUGGACCACCUAUGCCAAUUACGAUGACUGAAGGUACGAGCAGAGAAUGGAAGUGAGUCCACCCCGAGUGCUACGAAAGUAAGCUAAGGUCAUCAUGUGGGCAUUAUUUUUACUAUACGAAAUGAGAUGAAUGAUAUGAUUUAACUGUUCAGUUUCAGUUUAAUGAAAAUUUUCAAUGAUGAAUGAUUUGAGAUUAAAUGAUGUUUUAACUAAUUGACUUGCCAAUUUUGAUGAUGAUGAGCCUAUAUGUUACCCUCUACUGAUGAGACGAAUUCGGGUCCUGCCACAAGUGAGAUUGUAUACACAGAGGUGAUCGUGAGCUGUCUUUCGGGUCGGUCG